CUACCCCUGACUGCAUCCCGGAGAUCGGGGCGGGGCUAAAUGUGGGCGGGGUCAAACGUUUAGAGGUGGGCGGAGACAACUAUUUGACUCCUGCGUCCUGCCCCUCUCAAUGGAACCAGGAAACCGCUAUGCUAUGUGUGUGUGCAAUGCUGUAGCCGGGACAGAGGGAAGUAGCUGCCAAAAUGGAGGUAAGCUAGGAUUUUUCUUUCUCUGUUUUAACAAUAUCGAGGACCAAUGUUGGGCGAACGUUUUAUAAACUUGGAAAUUAAAGUUUUUUUCCCAUUAUGAGUUUUAGAUGAUACAUAUAGCCUAUUUUACACAUGCGGGGCGACUUACUUUUGAGGAGAAAUGUUUACAGGGUUCCCACGGAGUCUUAAAAGCAUUGAAUUUAUGAAUUUGGAAGUAAUACCUUUAAAAGACUGGAGAAACCCUUCAAUUUUGGCAUCUGGGUCUUAAAAUUUGUGUUGGAUGUAAGUUUUCUGUACUGCAUUUUUCUUCUGAAGUUCAUCAAAAUAUUCCAAACAAGUGAUGACACCAAGAGAAGCUAUUUUUAGACAUUUAUUUCAAUUUUGUGUCUUUACUGUUUGCACUGUUGCUUUUAUACAAUAGAAAUACUGCAAGAAAUUAGGGUAAUAAAAUUAGCAAUAAUAAAAAAAAAUGUCUUAAAAUUAAACUAAAAUAUAGGCAACAAAAAUUAUUAAGGUUCUAAUGUCCAACCAGAUCGGUUAUAUUUUUAACCAUUUGUUUAAAAAUAUAACCGAUCUUCUACCAAGUGCCCACCCAGUGUUUUGUCAAAAUAUAUUGGUAAAGUUGUAUAGAUAAAUAAAUGAAAUUAGUUCAAUAAUUUUAUUUUAUUUAUUUACUUUUUUGCUGAUAGUGCCGUGAAAUAGGUAUUAAUUUUCCAUAUGGCUUUAGAAAGAUCUUAGACUUAAAUUUAAGUUGAAGAAACCUGUAGGAACACUUUUAUAGAUUUGGGGAGAUAUGUUGUGUGGUCAUGAUUACUUUUUGGUGGAAAUAUAUUUUACAGGGGGAAAUAUGUUAGUUUUUUAAGCUUUUUAUGUUCGUAUCUGAGUUCUACACCUGAUGGGCUUUAUUAUUAUGGUUAGAGUGCUAAUCUGAUGUGUGUAAUUAUAUAAACGUUUUGCUCAUUCAAGUGUCAACAGAAUAACAUGAAUGUUUUCAUAGUGAAUUAAUGUUGUCAUUGUAUCACCAAGGUCUGAGGAAGACAGAGUGCAGGCACGGAAAAGACGGAGAGAGGAAAGAGUAAAACAGGUGAGAGACAAUUUGAUUAAUUCUUGUAGUUUAACUGUUGCUUGCAGACUAAAGCAUAAUUCCUUCAUUUAUUUCAGGACCUGGAAGUGGUCCCUCCUAAGAAGUCCUGCCAUACUGAAUGAGUCUGUGCAGCAUCAGGAGAAUUCUCUGCUUGAGGACACCUUUGAGGCAGCAAGGUGGUGUACCACAAGGUCCUUCAAAGGAAGCCUUUCCCUUCCCCAGGUCAUCACCAUGGACAGGGAAGCUUGCCGGAGGGCAGUGGAGAGGUCAUGCUUCUGUGAUGGCCUGGAUGAAGAGGAGAUGAACGAUUGCAGGGAACCGUUCCUGUUCAUGUUUAGUUUUCAGUCAGACUAUGAGGAGUUCUGCAGAGAAAUUGAGGAAAAAAGGAAGAUGAAGGUGUUUUCUGGUUUUGAAAUGCCAUAGUACAGCGGUGUCACAGUUUUUGCAUUCUUUUUCCUCCUCACAUUGUUUUUUUGGAGGUUCUCUUGUUUUUUGUGUGCUUUUUGGUUCAUUUGUUUGUACUUUUUUUUAUUCCUGUGUUGGCUGUUGUUUGCUCUAUUAAAUUUACCUUUUUUGAAAAAUUUA